ACUUUUGAAGGUUCAAGAAAGGGUCUUGGAUUAUUUAAGAAGGGCUCUUAAACAUUUAAGAACCAUGCCUAAACCUUAUUUGUGUGGCAUAAUAAGAAUUUUGAUUUCAACUAAUGACAUUUCUGGAAACAACAUAUGUAUAAUUUGGUAUCUAAGAUGUCCAUAAAAUGAUUUUUCAUGUAGGUCUAAAGAUUUAAUUACUUCUCCCAAACUUUUAGGGAAACUAAUUUCAAAUUGUAACUUGACAUUUCAUAAUACUGUAAAUCAGUGUGAAUAUAAAGAUAUGAAACUCGAGCAACAACAUCAGCUUAAUCUUGGCUACGAAAUUUUUGUUUUUUUAUAGAAAAUAGAGAGUUUUUCACCUUCAUUGUUUAGCCUGCAACGAGUAGAAUAAGCAAUGUUAGAAACUCUUAAAAGUUCUAUAAAUUUGAAUCGGACAGAAACUCUCUUUGUUUACGGGUUACUGUUCCAAAAAAGUGAAAUCUAGAUAUCUCAAUUGCUUAAUUUCUAUACUGAUACAGCAAAUGAUUUUGUAAUGAAAGGAAAAAUAACAGAUAUUGAUUACCGUAAGUCGAGAAGAACGGCGAGGAGAAGAUGAGGCAGAUAACAG
rnacentral:lncRNA from 1 species